rnacentral:lncRNA from 10 species
CCUUCUUGAGAAGGGAGCUUGCACUAACAUCUACAAUGGCUUCUAAAAGGAGGAAGUUGAUGGAGGCUGCUGGGUAAACAGGCCAGGUCUGCCACAGAGGAGACACUGGGCAGCAGGACAAGCAGGAGAGGAGGAGAGCCCAUGGUUUAAUGAUUGUUUGCUGCACUCAUCAACCCAUCCUCUACAUUAGGUAUUUCUCCUAAUGCUAUCCCUCCCCUAGCCUCCCACCCCCUGAAAGGCCCCAGUGUGUGAUGUUCCCCUCCCUGUGUCCAUGUGUUCUCAUUGUUCAACUCCCACUUAUGAGUGAGAACAUAAUGGUGUUUGAUUUUCUGUUCCUGUGUUAGUCUGCUGAGAAUGAUGGUUUCCAGCUUCAUCCAUGUCCCUGCAAAGGACAUGAACUCAUUAUUUUUUAUGGCUGCAUAGUAUUCCAUGGUGUAUAUGUACCACGUUUUCUUUAUCCAGUCUAUCAUUGAUGGGCUUUUGGGUUGGUUCCAAGUCUUUGCUAUUGUGAAUAAGCUGCAAUAAACAUACAUGUGUAUGUGUCUUUAUAGUACAAUGAUUUAUAAUCCUUUGGGUAUAUACCCAGUAAUGGGAUUGCUGGAUUGAAUGGUAUUUCUGGUUCUAGAUCCUUGAGGAGUUGCCACAGUGUCUUCCACAAUGGUUGAACUAAUUUACACUCCCACCAACAGUGUAAAAGCAUUCCUAUUUCUCCAUAUCCUCUCCAGCAUCUGUUGCUUCCUGACUUUUCAAUGAUCGCCAUUCUAACUGGCGUGAGAUAGUAUCUCAUUGUGGUUUUGAUUUGCAUUUCUCUAAUGACCAGUGAUGAUGAGCUUUUCUUCAUAUGUUUGUUGGCCGCAUAAAUAUCUUCUUUUGAGAAGUGUCUGUUCAUAUGCUUUGCCCACUUUUUGAUGGGGUUUUUUGUUUUUUCUUGUAAACUUGUUUAAGUUCCUUGUAGAUUCUGGAUAUUAGCCCUUUGUCAGAUGGAUAAAUUGCAAAAAUUUUCUCCCAUUCUGUAGGUUGCCUGUUCACUCUGAAGAUAGUUUCUUUUGCUGUGCAGAAGCUCUUUAGUUUAAUUAGAUCCCAUUUGUCAAUUUUGGCUUUUGUUGCCAUUGCUUUUGGUGUUUUAGUCAUGAAGUCUUUGUCCAUGCCUAUGUCCUGAAUGAUAUAGCCUAGGUUUUCCUUUAGGGUUUUUAUGGUUUUAGGUCUUAUGUUUAAGUUUUUAAUCUAUCUUGAGUUAAUUUUUGUAUAAGGUGUAAGGGAGGGGCUCAGUUUCAGUUUUCUGCAUAUGGCUAACCAGUUUUCUCAACACUAUUUAUUAAAUAGGAAAUCCCUUCCCCAUUGCUUGUUUUUGUCAGUUUUGUCAAAGAUCAGAUGGGAGCAGAUGUGUGGUGUUAUUUCUGAGGCCUAUGUUCUGUUCCAUUGGUCUAUACAUCUGUCUUGGUACCCAUACCAUGCUGUUUUGGUUACUGUAGCCUUGUAGUAUAGUUUGAAGUCAGAUAGUGUUAUGCCUCCAGCUUUGUUCUUUUUGCUUAGGAUUCUCUUGGCUACAUAGGCUCUUUUAUGGCUCCAUCUGAAAUUUAAAGUAGUUUUUUCUAAUUAUUUGAAAAAAGUCAGUGGUAGCUUGAUGGGGAUAGCAUUGAAUCUAUAAAUUACUUUGCGCAGUAUGGCCAUUCUCAUGAUAUUGAUUCUUCCUAUCCAUGAGCAUGGAAUGUUCUUCCAUUUGUUUGUGUCCUCUCUUAUUUCCUUGAGCAGUGGUUUGUAGUUCUCCUUGAGGAGGUCUUUCACAUCUCUUGUAAGUUGUAUUCCUAGGUAUCUUAUUCUCUUUGUAGCAAUUGUGAAUAGGAGUUCACUCAUGAUUUGGCUCUCUGUUUGUCUAUUAUUUGGGUGUAGGAAUGCUUGUGAUUUUUGCACAUUGAUUUGUUUCCUGAGACUUUGCUGAAGGUGCUUAUCAGCUUAAAGAGUUUUUGGCUGAGAUUAUAGGGUUUUGUAAAUAUACAAUCAUGUCAUCUGCGAACAGAAACAAUUGGACUUCCUCUCUUCCUAUUUGAAUACACUUUGUUUCUUUCUCUUGCCUGAUUGCCCUGGCCAGAAUUUCCAAUACUAUGUUGAAUAGGAGUGGUGAGAGAGGGCAUCCUUGUCUUGUGUGUAUUUUCAAAGGGAAUGCUUCCAGCUUUUGCCCAUUCAGUAUGGUAUUGGCUGUGGGUUUGUCAUAAAUAGCUCUUAUUAUUUUGACAUAUGUUCCUUCAACAUCUAGUUUAUUGAGUGCUUUUAGCAUGAAAGGGUGUUGAAUUUUAUCAAAGGCCUUUUCUGCAUCUAUUGAGAUAUUCAUGUGGUUUUUGUCAUUGGUUCUGUUUAUGUGAUGAAUUAUGUUUAUUGAUUUGCGUAUGUUGAACCAGCCUUGCAUUCCAGGAAUGAAGCCAACUUGAUCGUGGUGGAUAAGCUUUUUAAUGUGCUGCUGAAGUUGGUUUGCCAGUGUUUUAUUGAGGAUUUUCACACCAAUGUUCACCAGGGAUAUUGGCCUGAAAUUUUCUUUUUUUUGUUGUGUCUCUGCCAGGUUUUAGCAUCAGGAUGAUGCUGGACUCAUAAAAUGAGUUAGGGAGAGUCCUUCUUUUUCUAUUUUUUGGAACAGUUUCAGAAGGUAUGGUACCAGCUCCUCUUUGUACCUCUGGUAGAAUUUGGCUUAGAAUCCAUCUGGUCCUGGAUUUUUUUUUUUUGGUUCGUAGGCUAUUAAUUAUACUGACUCAAUUUCAGAACUUGUUAUUGGUCUAUUCAGGGAUUCCACUUCUUCCUGGUUUAGUCUUGGGAGGGUGUAUGUGUCCAGGAAUUUAUCCAUUUCUUCUAGAUUUUCUAGUUUAUUUGCAUAGAGGUGUUUUAGCAUUCUCUGACGGUAGUUUGUAUUUCUAUGGGAUCAGUGGUGAUAUCCUCUUUAUCAUUUUUUAUUGUGUCUAUUUGAUUCUUCUGUCUUUUCUUCUUUAUUUGUCUGGCUAGCAGUCUAUCUAUUUUGUUAAUCUUUUCAAAAACGCAGCUUUUGAAUUCAUUUUUUAAAGGGUUUUUUGUGUCUCUAUCUCUUUCAGUUCUGCUCUGAUCUUAGUUAUUUCUUGUCUUCUGCUGGCUUUUGAAUUUGUUUGCUCUUGCUUCUCUAGUUCUUAUAAUUGUGAUGUUAGGAUUUCUAUAUUAGACCUGUCCUGCUUUCUCCUGUGGGCAUUUAGUGCUAUAAAUUUCCUUCUAAACAGUGCUUUAACUGUGUCCCAGAGGUUCUGAUACAUUGUGUCUUUGUUCUCAUUGGUUUCAAAGAAUUUAUUUAUUUCUGCCUUAAUUUCAUUAUUUACCCAGUAGUCAUUCAGGAGCAGGUUGUUCAGUUUCCAUGUAGUUGUGUGGUUUUGAGUGAGUUUCUUUUCUUUUCUUUUCUUUUUUUUUUUUUUUUUUUGAGACAGAAUCUUGCUCUGUCAUUCAGGUUGGACUGCAGUGGCACAAUUUCAGCUCACUGCAACCUCCGCCUCCUGGGUUCAUGUCAUUCUCCUGCCUCAGCCUCCUAAGUAGUUGGGACUACAGACGCCUGCCACCACGCCCGGCUAAUUUUAUUAUUUUUAGUAGAGGCGGGGUUUCACUGUGUUAGCCAGGAUGGUCUUGAUCUCCUGACCUUGUGAUCUGCCUGCCUUGGCCUCCCAAAGUACUGGGAUUACAGGCAUGAGCCACUGCACCUGGCCUGGAGUGAGUUUCUCAAUCCUGAGUUCUAGUAGAUUGCAAUGUGGUCUGAGACACAGUUUGUUAUGAUUUCUGUUCUUUUGCAUUUGCUGAGGAGUGUUUUACUUCCAAUUAUGUGGUCAAUUUUAGAAUAAGUGCAAUGUGGUGCUGAGAAGAAUGUCUAUUCUGUUGAUUUGGGGUGGAGAGUUCUGUAGAUGUCUAUUAGGUCCACUUGGUCCAGAGCUGAGUUCAAGUCCUGAAUAUCCUUGUUAAUUUUCUGUCUCAUUUAUCUUUCUAAUAUUGACAGUGGGGUGUUAAAGUCUCCCACUAUUAUUGUGUGGGAGUCUAAGUCUCUUUGUAGGCCUCUAAGAACUUGCUUUAUGAAUCCGGGUGCUCCUGUAUUGGGUGCAUAUAUAUUUAGCAUAGUUAGCUAUUCUUGUUGCAUUGAUCGCUUUAUCAUUAUGUGAUUCCCUUCUUUGCCUUUUUUGAUCUUUGUUGGUUUAAAGUCUGUCUUAUCAGAGACUAGGAUUGUAACCCCGGCUUUUUUUUUUUUUUUUUUUUUUUUUGCUUUCCAUUUGCUUGGUAAAUAUUCCUUCAUCCCUUUAGUUUGAGCCUAUGUGUGUCUUUGCAUAUGGGACUGGUUUCCUGAAUACAGCACCCCAAUGGGUCUUGACUCUUUAUCCAAUUUGCCAGUCUUUGUCUUUUAAUUGGGGCAUUUAGCCCAUUUACAUUUAAGGUUAAUAUUGUUAUGUGUGAAUUUGAUCCUGUUAUUAUGAUGCCAGCUGGUUAUUUUGCACAUUAGUUGAUG